GAUGUCGUCGGCUUUAACUCCAA
rnacentral:siRNA from 1 species